GACGAACGCUGGCGGCGUGCCUAAUACAUGCAAGUCGAGCGCAGGAAAUCAUCCGAACCCUUCGGGGGGACGUUGAUGGAAUGAGCGGCGGACGGGUGAGUAACACGUAAAGAACCUGCCCUCAGGUCUGGGAUAACCACGAGAAAUCGGGGCUAAUACCGGAUGGGUCAUCGGACCGCAUGGUCCGAGGAUGAAAGGCGCUUCGGCGUCGCCUGGGGAUGGCUUUGCGGUGCAUUAGCUAGUUGGUGGGGUAAUGGCCCACCAAGGCGACGAUGCAUAGCCGACCUGAGAGGGUGAUCGGCCACACGGGGACUGAGACACGGCCCAGACUCCUACGGGAGGCAGCAGUAGGGAAUCUUCCACAAUGGACGAAAGUCUGAUGGAGCAACGCCGCGUGAACGAUGAAGGCCUUCGGGUCGUAAAGUUCUGUUGUAAGGGAAGAACAAGUGCCGCAGGCAAUGGCGGCACCUUGACGGUACCUUGCGAGAAAGCCACGGCUAACUACGUGCCAGCCGCCGCGGUAA
rnacentral:rRNA from 1 species